rnacentral:rRNA from 1 species
UAGGGAAUCUUCGGCAAUGGACGUAAGUCUGUCCGAGCAACGCCGCGCGAGUGAAGAAGGUUUUCGGAUCGUAAAACUCUGUUGUUAGAGAAGAACAAGGACGUUAGUAACUGAACGUCCCCUGACGGUAUCUAACCAGAAAGCCACGGCUAACUACGUGCCAGCAGCCGCGGUAAUACGUAGGUGGCAAGCGUUGUCCGGAUUUAUUGGGCGUAAAGCGAGCGCAGGCGGUUUCUUAAGUCUGAUGUGAAAGCCCCCGGCUCAACCGGGGAGGGUCAUUGGAAACUGGGAGACUUGAGUGCAGAAGAGGAGAGUGGAAUUCCAUGUGUAGCGGUGAAAUGCGUAGAUAUAUGGGGGAACACCAGUGGCGAAGGCGGCUCUCUGGUCUGUAACUGACGCUGAGGCUCGAAAGCGUGGGGAGCAAACAGG